AUUCUUCCUUCAUUUUCCAUAUCCACGACUACAAAGUCAAUCAAGAAUUCCAACUCCUCAAUACGGACAAUUGCAUCCUCCACCCUACCAGUUGUCUUCUUAAUAGAACCAUCUGCAACUGUUAAAGUAAUGUUAGCUAGCUUUAAUACUAACCCUUUGAUUUUCUUCAAGUAACUUAAGGCCAUUAAAUUUAUGCUAGACCCAGAGUCUAUCAUAGCUUUUCCUAUAUCCACAUCAUUUAUUAUGCAUGGAAGAGUUAAUAAUCCUGGAUCCUUCAUUUUAGGUGGACAAUGAUCCUUUCUUGGCUGCACAAGCACUUCCUGUUCUUCUUCUUCUGCAUCUAAAUCUAUCACCUAUCCAAGGUAAUAAUUAAUUUUCUUAGAAUAAACACGAAUUUGAGGAUGAUUUUCUUCUAUAGGAACCAUAGUCACAUGUUUGAAUAUUUGUCUCAUCUGUCCAUUGGGACUAUCUCUUCUUUUCUCCACUUCUUUCAAUCCCUCUUCUUCUCUUUCUUCUUCACUAGGCGUGUCACUCUCACUUACCUCUUCUUCAUCACUGCUAAUCUCAAUAAGUUCCACCUCUGCCUUUCUUUUCUCCCUCACUACAACAACACGACAUUCUUCAUUAGGAUUAACAUCAGUAUUAACCCUAGAUUGAUUCUUCUCUAUGAUUUCAAUCCUUUUGACAAUUGGCCAAGUUGCAUCUCCAAGGAUCUAAAGGUAGCAUGGUCACUUGCACGAUUGGACUCAUAGACUUUCAUGAAUUUAUCAAAUCUAUCACUCAUAUCUUUGACAAACUCUGUCAGAUGUGUAACCUGCUGCCACAUAGUUGAUGGGUUAUUCUGUUGUUGACCAAUACUUGGAUGAUUCUUCCAACCUUGGCUAGGAUUUCCUUGGUUGAAAUUCCCUUUCCUGUACUGGUAUUGGUUCCCCAUGUAAUUAGCUUCUUGUUGCAUCUCCUAAGGUAUAGCUUAUUGACCAUUGAUAUGGUCACCACCACAAAGAUCACAUAGUUGCUGUGCUUGAGAGACAUUACGAAGCUACUUUGGAAGUUGUGAGAGGAUCUUUGCCAAUGUGUCUAGCUUUUGGGUCAAAAGAUGAUUUUUAGCUAGCAUUUCAUCAUUGUAGGUAAGUGCAAGACUCCUCUCUGUUGUGUUGGUGCGCCCCUUUCACUAUAUGUUUCUUAUCCAUUAGCUACCAUACUCUCUAUCAAGUCAUAGGCUUUUCGUUCUCAGUCUUCUAUUUGAU
rnacentral:lncRNA from 1 species